CCUACGGGUGGCAGCAGUCGAGAAUCAUUCACAAUGGGGGAAACCCUGAUGGUGCGACGCCGCGUGGGGGAAUGAAGGUCUUCGGAUUGUAAACCCUUGUCAUGUGGGAGCAAAUUAAAAAGAUAGUACCACAAGAGGAAGAGACGGCUAACUCUGUGCCAGCAGCCGCGGUAAUACAGAGGUCUCAAGCGUUGUUCGGAAUCACUGGGAGUAAAGGGUGCGUAGGCUGUUACGUAAGUCGGGUGUGAAAGGCGCGGGCUCAACCCGCGGACGGCACAUGAUACUGCGAGACUAGAGUAAUGGAGGGGGAACCGGAAUUCUCGGUGUAGCAGUGAAAUGCGUAGAUAUCGAGAGGAACACUCGUGGCGAAGGCGGGUUCCUGGACAUUAACUGACGCUGAGGCACGAAGGCCAGGGGAGCGAAAGGGAUUAGAUACCCCGGUAGUC
rnacentral:rRNA from 1 species